GACGAACGCUGGCGGCGUGCUUAACACAUGCAAGUCGAACGGAAAGGCCCUGCUUUUGUGGGGUGCUCGAGUGGCGAACGGGUGGGUAACACGCGAGUAACCUGCCCUUGACUUUGGGAUAACUUCAGGAAACUGGGGCUAAUACCGGAUAGGAGCUCCUGCUGCAUGGUGGGGGUUGGAAAGUUUCGGCGGUUGGGGAUGGACUCGCGGCUUAUCAGCUUGUUGGUGGGGUAGUGGCUUACCAAGGCUUUGACGGGUAGCCGGCCUGAGAGGGUGACCGGCCACAUUGGGACUGAGGUACGGCCCAGACUCCUACGGGAGGCAGCAGUGGGGAAUAUUGCACAAUGGGCGGAAGCCUGAUGCAGCAACGCCGCGUGCGGGAUGACGGCCUUCGGGUUGUAAACCGCUUUCGCCUGUGACGAAGCGUGAGUGACGGUAAUGGGUAAAGAAGCACCGGCUAACUACGUG
rnacentral:rRNA from 1 species